rnacentral:rRNA from 2 species
GGUUAAGCGACUAAGCGUACACGGUGGAUGCCCUGGCAGUCAGAGGCGAUGAAGGACGUGCUAAUCUGCGAUAAGCGUCGGUAAGGUGAUAUGAACCGUUAUAACCGGCGAUUUCCGAAUGGGGAAACCCAGUGUGAUUCGUCACACUAUCAUUACGUGAAUACAUAGCGUAAUGAAGCGAACCGGGGGAACUGAAACAUCUAAGUACCCCGAGGAAAAGAAAUCAACCGAGAUUCCCCCAGUAGCGGCGAGCGAACGGGGAGCAGCCCAGAGUCUGAAUCAGCAUGUGUGGUAGUGGAACGGUCUGGAAAGUCCGACGGUACAGGGUGAUAGUCCCGUACACAAAAGUGCAUGUGUUGUGAACUCGAAGAGUAGGGCGGGACACGUGGUAUCCUGUCUGAAUAUGGGGGGACCAUCCUCCAAGGCUAAAUACUCCUGACUGACCGAUAGUGAACCAGUACCGUGAGGGAAAGGCGAAAAGAACCCCGGCGAGGGGAGUGAAAAAGAACCUGAAACCGUGUACGUACAAGCAGUGGGAGCCUCUUUAUGGGGUGACUGCGUACCUUUUGUAUAAUGGGUCAGCGACUUAUAUUCUGUAGCAAGGUUAACCGAAUAGGGGAGCCGAAGGGAAACCGAGUCUUAACUGGGCGUUAAGUUGCAGGGUAUAGACCCGAAACCCGGUGAUCUAGCCAUGGGCAGGUUGAAGGUUGGGUAACACUAACUGGAGGACCGAACCGACUAAUGUUGAAAAAUUAGCGGAUGACUUGUGGCUGGGGGUGAAAGGCCAAUCAAACCGGGAGAUAGCUGGUUCUCCCCGAAAGCUAUUUAGGUAGCGCCUCGUGAACUCAUCUUCGGGGGUAGAGCACUGUUUCGGCUAGGGGGUCAUCCCGACUUACCAACCCGAUGCAAACUGCGAAUACCGAAGAAUGUUAUCACGGGAGACACACGGCGGGUGCUAACGUCCGUCGUGAAGAGGGAAACAACCCAGACCGCCAGCUAAGGUCCCAAAGUCAUGGUUAAGUGGGAAACGAUGUGGGAAGGCACAGACAGCCAGGAUGUUGGCUUAGAAGCAGCCAUCAUUUAAAGAAAGCGUAAUAGCUCACUGGUCGAGUCGGCCUGCGCGGAAGAUGUAACGGGGCUAAACCAUGCACCGAAGCUGCGGCAGCGACACUAUGUGUUGUUGGGUAGGGGAGCGUUCUGUAAGCCGUUGAAGGUGGCCUGUGAGGGUUGCUGGAGGUAUCAGAAGUGCGAAUGCUGACAUAAGUAACGAUAAUGCGGGUGAAAAACCCGCACGCCGGAAGACCAAGGGUUCCUGUCCAACGUUAAUCGGGGCAGGGUGAGUCGACCCCUAAGGCGAGGCCGAAAGGCGUAGUCGAUGGGAAACAGGUUAAUAUUCCUGUACUUGGUGUUACUGCGA